GAUGAAUAACGUAGCGAAAUGCGAUACGUAAUGUGAAUUGCAGAAUUCAGUGAAUCAUCGAAUCUUUGAACGCACAUUGCGCCUGCCAGCACUCUGGCAGGCAUGCCUGUUCGAGCGUCAUUUCAACCAUCAAGCCCUAGGCUUGCGUUGGAGCCCUGCGGCUGCCGCAGGCCCCUAAAAGCAGUGGCGGGCUCGCUAUCACACCGAGUGCAGUAGAUUACUCUUCGCUCAGGGCGUGUGGCGGGUUCCAGCCGUGAAACCCCCUACUUCUCAAGGUUGACCUCGGAUCAGGUAGGAAUACCCGCUGAACUUAAGCAUAUCAAUAAGCGGAGGA
rnacentral:misc_RNA from 1 species